GGAAACAGGCCUAGAGAGGUGCAGCCUGCCGAUGGGCCCAGGACCCUGCGCUGAGUAACUACUGAAGCUGCUUCUCAGUGACACACCCACUGCUGCUCAUUGUGCAGUCUUUUGAAAUGGACAGGACGAUGGGACACCCAGAGCGACUUCUCAGAGGCCACACAGCAAGCAGGACACUCAGGCUUCCUGUAUGAACAAGCACUGACCACUGAGCUGCAAACUGAAUCUCUAUCUCAGGCAGUUCUCCAACCUGGAUCUCAGCCUCCCAGCAUAUUCUAGGGCCUUUGUCAAGGAUAUCUUCCAGAGCCUUCGAUUCUUUCUCUUCCAACAUUGAGACCUUCAGGAAGGAUUGCUAAGAGUUUGUGCAGCCGCAUGUCAUCUACGAAGGACUCUAUCCAGGACAUGUGAGUAGCUUCGCCGCUGCAUGGUACCUGUGAUUCUUCUUGGGUCUGUUUUGAAGAUGAGAGAGAGGAGACUCGGGGAAGAACAGGGCCACAUAACAAGGAAUCAGCAACGUUAGGGAGAAGGACAGAGACGGGCUGCCAGCUACCACACAGCACGCAGGCCUCACGGAGUGUGGAGGACGCGGUGAAGCGACUUCGGCGCCUGGCCUCCUUUCCUGGCUCUCCAGUCCUCAGUAGCUAAGCGGCUUCAUUUGAGCACGGUCAUCUCUCUGGACUCGGUACUUCAUCCGUAAGACAAGGCAGGCAGAGAGUCCUUGUUUACCGGCUUCAGUUGAAGGCUGAUGUGACUGCUGUGAGGGGUCUCCCAGUCUCCAGGAGGCAGAAAGUAAAUGGCUCCUAGACAGGAGCAGCCACUGAGCUGUCUGCAAGGACCCACACCGUCAUCCCCGACUGCCUCACUGCCUCAGGCCUCAGUGGGGCUCAUUGGUAUGGCCUGGCAAGUGCGGGGACCCGGGUUCCAUCCCCAGUACUGUAAAAUAUGACAAAUAUAAAUCCCUCCCCUUA